CGGACGGGUGAGUAACGCGUGGAUAACCUGCCUCAUACAGGGGGAUAACAGUUAGAAAUGACUGCUAAUACCGCAUAAGCACCCGGGAGCGCAUGCUCCUGAGUGAAAAGCUCCGGCGGUAUGAGAUGGAUCCGCGUCUGAUUAGCUGGUUGGCGGGGUAACGGCCCACCAAGGCGACGAUCAGUAGCCGACCUGAGAGGGUGGCCGGCCACAUUGGGACUGAGACACGGCCCAAACUCCUACGGGAGGCAGCAGUGGGGAAUAUUGCACAAUGGGGGAAACCCUGAUGCAGCAACGCCGCGUGGGUGAAGAAGUAUUUCGGUAUGUAAAGCCCUAUCAGCAGGGAAGAGAAUGACGGUACCUGACUAAGAAGCCCCGGCUAACUACGUGCCAGCAGCCGCGGUAAUACGUAGGGGGCAAGCGUUAUCCGGAUUUACUGGGUGUAAAGGGAGCGUAGACGGUUGUGCAAGUCUGAAGUGAAAGCCCGCGGCUCAACUGCGGAACGGCUUUGGAAACUGUGUAACUGGAGUGCUGGAGAGGUAAGCGGAAUUCCUGGUGUAGCGGUGAAAUGCGUAGAGAUCAGGAGGAACACCGGCGGCGAAGGCGGCUUACUGGACAGUAACUGACGUUGAGGCUCGAAAGCGUGGGGAGCAAACAGGAUUAGAUACCCUGGUAGUCCACGCGGUAAACGAUGAAUGCUAGGUGUUGGUGGGCAGAGCCCAUCGGUGCCGUCGCAAACGCAGUAAGCAUUCCACC
rnacentral:rRNA from 1 species